rnacentral:lncRNA from 1 species
UUUGGGAGGCUGAGGCAGGAGGAUUGCUUGAGCCCAGAAGUUCAAGACCAGCCUGGACAACAUAGUGAGACCCCAUAUCUGUUUUUAAAUUAAAAAAAUUAAAAAGAAUGCUCUCUCUCUUUGUCAUAUUCUGUAAAGAUUGAGUAAAUAUCUAGAAAUUCCACUAAAAUUUCCUUAAGUCAACAGGACACAGAAUGGUCUGCCUGGGCCUCAGUCACAUUGGAGGAGCAGAGAGAGAAGGAGCCAUGAGGAGUCACUCAAGGGUUUUAGGCAGAGCCGUGACACAACCAGAGAUACUACGAGCAAAGGUUCCGGAACAGGGCAGGGCAGGACAGGUUUGAGAGCAAUGGCGCGAUUUCGGCUCACAGCAACCUCCGCCUCCUGGGUUCAAGCUAUUCUCCUGCCUCAACAACCUCCUGAGGGCUGGGAUUACAGGUACUCGCCACAAUGCCCGGCUAAUAGUUUUGUAUUGUUUUUAGUAGAGACAGGGUUUCACCAUGUUGGCCAGGCUGGUCUCAAACUCCUGACUUUGUGAUCCACCCACCGCAGCCUCCCAAAGUGUUGGGAUUACAAGCGUGAGCCACCACGCCCGGCCGGAUUAAAGUUCUUAACUGAAAGUAAGAGAAACAGACUCUAGCUAGUUUAAGCUGGAAAAUAAAUUAUUAAAACUAUUCUGUAGCUCAUAGCAUCUCCAGCAGGGCUAGAGAGUUAGCCAGGAAUAAUGUCCCAAAGGUCACAGCCAAGCCAGCCUGGCAGAGCCACCCUGGACACUGAUACCACUGUUUGCCAAUGCCAUUGAUUUGGGCCCUGGGUGGUGGCACUAAGGGCUCACUCCCCUAAGCCUCUGGAAACAGGAUUUGGCUGUCACCACCCUCCCAGGGUGCAUUUUUCUUGGUGCCUGAUGCAGGUUCAGAGUCUGGCACGGGGCCUCUGGCUGGCAGACCCUGCACCUCAGCGGCAAGGG